GGAGGUAAAAGUCGUAACAAGGUUUCCGUAGGUGAACCUGCGGAAGGAUCAUUAAUGAGUUGUCAUGGGGUUCGAUGCUGGCAGCCAGUUUUUGGAUGCAUGUGCUUGCCCUAACAAUCAUCUUCUUCCAAACACCUGUGCACAUUUUUGAAGGAGUCUUGAGUUGGUUGCCGCUCUUGGGUGAUUUUCUCACAUUCCCUUAAAUCAUUAUACGCUAUUAACAAUGUUGAACGUGCUCUGUGCCGCAAGGCCAUUAAUAUAAUACAACUUUUAACAACGGAUCUCUUGGCUCUC
rnacentral:misc_RNA from 1 species